CAUUGAAUGAAUUAUGAAUCGAAUUGUCUUAUCUUUUACGAAGAAUAAAUUAAAAAAAGAAUCAAUAAAUGACAAUCUAUACCCGAAAACAUUCAGCCGUAGGCUUUAAUAAUUUGUUACAAAUAGAGAAGUAGGUCUCAUUUAUUUGCAUUACAGUCGUAAUAUUUUCUUGUGGAAAUAGCUCCUUCAGAAAUGUGUCCAACUUAUACAUAGGUUCAUAUGUGCACUGGCUGUUGUUGCUGAGAGAAAGAAGCUGGUUGAGAGAAUAGUUGUUACAAAAGACUACUGUCCUGAAGGAGCAUAUGUUGUAAGACUCUGUAAAGAUGGCAGCUGGAAAACUGUUGUCUUAGAUGACCACUUCCCAGUAAAUCAGCACGAGAGACUAAAAUAUUCUAAGGCAAGAAGAUGUCAAUUAUGGGUUCCAUUGAUCGAGAAAGCCGCAGCAAAGAUGCAUGGAUGUUAUCAGGCACUAAGAUCUGGAAAGACGGUGGAGUCCUUGUCAUUGCUUACUGGUGAACCAUGUGAACAUCUGUCUUUGAAUGACAAUAAAGAUUUUUCAAAGACCAUGGAUAACAUUUUAAUCUGGUCAAAGUUGACACAUGCAAGGGGCUUGUAGGUAAGGAAAAUGAAAAAUAAAUCAUUAUGAAAUAUAAAAAGAUGUGGUAUAAUUGUUUAUUAGACAAAAAUAAACCAAAAAGAAAAAAGGAAACGGAUAAAAUAUACUACAGGUCACUUCAACAAUUAUCAAAAUUCAAUCUGCAGG